UGGAUUCCAUCUACACUCAAGUAAGCGAUGUUCGGGCCUUCACAUCACACUUCUCGGAGUUCGUAUCUCAAGCUUUCAGGCAGUUGGAUGUUCAAGUGUAGUUUCUAACGUAUGGAGUUGCCCAAGCUUAUCCGCCGCUAGAUACACCUUCCGAUGAGGAGGCAGACGAUGAUGAGGCCUCAGAUUAGGGGAUUUUUUAAUUUUAAUCUUGUUUUUACUGUUUAUCAAAAUGAGAUUAUUUUCUUAGUUAAGUUUGGGGGGAGUUGUUUUUAGGUUUGCAUUUGCAUUGCAUUUAGUAUAAGUGAUGG
rnacentral:lncRNA from 1 species